UCUUCGCUGUACUACUCUUUUGGAUCCAUUUAGCAACAACUGAAAGCUUAAAUUAUGAUCUCUUUAUUAAGCUUCAUAAAGGGGAAGGCGAAACAAUAGAAACCGUUGGCAAAGUUUUAUUGCAGACGUCAACCAGAAGUCGACUAGCGUGUGCUCGCCAAUGUCUUGAGAACGAUACAUGCUUAUCAUAUACGUAUGGGCACAAUGAUUGUCACUUGUUCGAUGGUAAAUAUACUGCAUCACCGGUUGUCAUGACAACAGGAAGUCCACCAAAGGAAACAGAUAAAGCUUACUACAAUCGUGUGUUUUGUGAAAAUGGUGGAAUAAGAAACACGACCAGUAAUAAAUGUGUAUGUUUUAAUAGUUAUGUUGGCGAGCAUUGUGAGAGAUUAAUGACAGAUUGUAGUGAUGGAUAUUUAGCAGGACAAUACUACGGACAAGAUGCCGUAUUUACAGUUAAACCUGAUGCUGCACCCAACCCAUUCGAGGUGCGUUGUAUUAUGAAGACACACGGUCGAUUGGUUUUCCAACGGCAGAAAGACGGUAACGUGAGUUUCAACCGAACAUGGUCGGAAUAUAAAGAAGGAUUUGGUAAUGUAAGGGGAGAUCACUGGUUAGGAAAUGACA